rnacentral:rRNA from 1 species
GGGUUGUGAGGUUAAGCGACUAAGCGUACACGGUGGAUGCCCUGGCAGUCAGAGGCGAUGAAGGACGUGCUAAUCUGCGAAAAGCGUCGGUAAGGUGAUAUGAACCGUUAUAACCGGCGAUGUCCGAAUGGGGAAACCCAGUGUGAUUCGUCACACUAUCGUUAACUGAAUACAUAGGUUAACGAGGCGAACCGGGGGAACUGAAACAUCUAAGUACCCCGAGGAAAAGAAAUCAACCGAGAUUCCCCCAGUAGCGGCGAGCGAACGGGGAGCAGCCCAGAGUCUGAAUCAGCUUGUGUGUUAGUGGAACGGUCUGGAAAGUCCGACGGUACAGGGUGAUAGUCCCGUACACCAAAAUGCACAGGUUGUGAACUCGAAGAGUAGGGCGGGACACGUGGUAUCCUGUCUGAAUAUGGGGGGACCAUCCUCCAAGGCUAAAUACUCCUGACUGACCGAUAGUGAACCAGUACCGUGAGGGAAAGGCGAAAAGAACCCCGGCGAGGGGAGUGAAAAAGAACCUGAAACCGUGUACGUACAAGCAGUGGGAGCACCUUCGGGUGUGACUGCGUACCUUUUGUAUAAUGGGUCAGCGACUUAUAUUCUGUAGCAAGGUUAACCGUAUAGGGGAGCCGCAGGGAAACCGAGUCUUAACUGGGCGUUAAGUUGCAGGGUAUAGACCCGAAACCCGGUGAUCUAGCCAUGGGCAGGUUGAAGGUUGGGUAACACUAACUGGAGGACCGAACCGACUAAUGUUGAAAAAUUAGCGGAUGACUUGUGGCUGGGGGUGAAAGGCCAAUCAAACCGGGAGAUAGCUGGUUCUCCCCGAAAGCUAUUUAGGUAGCGCCUCGUGAAUUCAUCUUCGGGGGUAGAGCACUGUUUCGGCUAGGGGGUCAUCCCGACUUACCAACCCGAUGCAAACUACGAAUACCGAAGAAUGUUAUCACGGGAGACACACGGCGGGUGCUAACGUCCGUCGUGAAGAGGGAAACAACCCAGACCGCCAGCUAAGGUCCCAAAGUCAUGGUUAAGUGGGAAACGAUGUGGGAAGGCACAGACAGCCAGGAUGUUGGCUUAGAAGCAGCCAUCAUUUAAAGAAAGCGUAAUAGCUCACUGGUCGAGUCGGCCUGCGCGGAAGAUGUAACGGGGCUAAACCAUGCACCGAAGCUGCGGCAGCGACACUAUGUGUUGUUGGGUAGGGGAGCGUUCUGUAAGCCUGCGAAGGUGACCUGUGAGGGUUGCUGGAGGUAUCAGAAGUGCGAAUGCUGACAUAAGUAACGAUAAAGCGGGUGAAAAGCCCGCUCGCCGGAAGACCAAGGGUUCCUGUCCAACGUUAAUCGGGGCAGGGUGAGUCGACCCCUAAGGCGAGGCCGAAAGGCGUAGUCGAUGGGAAACAGGUUAAUAUUCCUGUACUUGGUGUUACUGCGAAGGGGGGACGGAGAAGGCUAUGUUAGCCGGGCGACGGUUGUCCCGGUUUAAGCAUGUAGGCUGAUUAUCCAGGCAAAUCCGGAUAAUCAAGGCUGAGGUGUGAUGACGAGGCACUACGGUGCUGAAGUAACAAAUGCCCUGCUUCCAGGAAAAGCCUCUAAGCAUCAGGUAACAUCAAAUCGUACCCCAAACCGACACAGGUGGUCAGGUAGAGAAUACCAAGGCGCUUGAGAGAACUCGGGUGAAGGAACUAGGCAAAAUGGUGCCGUAACUUCGGGAGAAGGCACGCUGGUGUGUAGGUGAAGCCCCUGCGGGUGGAGCUGAGACCAGUCGAAGAUACCAGCUGGCUGCAACUGUUUAUUAAAAACACAGCACUGUGCAAACACGAAAGUGGACGUAUACGGUGUGACGCCUGCCCGGUGCCGGAAGGUUAAUUGAUGGGGUUAUCCGUAAGGAGAAGCUCUUGAUCGAAGCCCCGGUAAACGGCGGCCGUAACUAUAACGGUCCUAAGGUAGCGAAAUUCCUUGUCGGGUAAGUUCCGACCUGCACGAAUGGCGUAAUGAUGGCCAGGCUGUCUCCACCCGAGACUCAGUGAAAUUGAACUCGCUGUGAAGAUGCAGUGUACCCGCGGCAAGACGGAAAGACCCCGUGAACCUUUACUAUAGCUUGACACUGAACAUUGAGCCUUGAUGUGUAGGAUAGGUGGGAGGCUUUGAAGCGUGGACGCCAGUCUGCGUGGAGCCAACCUUGAAAUACCACCCUUUAAUGUUUGAUGUUCUAACGUUGGCCCCUUACCGGGGUUGCGGACAGUGUCUGGUGGGUAGUUUGACUGGGGCGGUCUCCUCCCAAAGCGUAACGGAGGAGCACGAAGGUUAGCUAAUCCUGGUCGGACAUCAGGAGGUUAGUGCAAUGGCAUAAGCUAGCUUGACUGCGAGCGUGACGGCGCGAGCAGGUGCGAAAGCAGGUCAUAGUGAUCCGGUGGUUCUGAAUGGAAGGGCCAUCGCUCAACGGAUAAAAGGUACUCCGGGGAUAACAGGCUGAUACCGCCCAAGAGUUCAUAUCGACGGCGGUGUUUGGCACCUCGAUGUCGGCUCAUCACAUCCUGGGGCUGAAGUAGGUCCCAAGGGUAUGGCUGUUCGCCAUUUAAAGUGGUACGCGAGCUGGGUUUAGAACGUCGUGAGACAGUUCGGUCCCUAUCUGCCGUGGGCGCUGGAGAAUUGAGGGGGGCUGCUCCUAGUACGAGAGGACCGGAGUGGACGCAUCACUGGUGUUCGGGUUGUCAUGCCAAUGGCACUGCCCGGUAGCUAAAUGCGGAAGAGAUAAGUGCUGAAAGCAUCUAAGCACGAAACUUGCCCCGAGAUGAGUUCUCCCUGAGACUUUAAGUCUCCUGAAGGAACGUUGAAGACGACGACGUUGAUAGGCCGGGUGUGUAAGCGCAGCGAUGCGUUGAGCUAACCGGUACUAAUGAACCGUGAGGCUUAACCUUACAACGCCGAAG